rnacentral:rRNA from 2 species
AAAUUGAAGAGUUUGAUCAUGGCUCAGAUUGAACGCUGGCGGCAGGCCUAACACAUGCAAGUCGAGCGGUAGCACAGAGAGCUUGCUCUCGGGUGACGAGCGGCGGACGGGUGAGUAAUGUCUGGGAAACUGCCUGAUGGAGGGGGAUAACUACUGGAAACGGUAGCUAAUACCGCAUAAUGUCGCAAGACCAAAGUGGGGGACCUUCGGGCCUCAUGCCAUCAGAUGUGCCCAGAUGGGAUUAGCUAGUAGGUGGGGUAACGGCUCACCUAGGCGACGAUCCCUAGCUGGUCUGAGAGGAUGACCAGCCACACUGGAACUGAGACACGGUCCAGACUCCUACGGGAGGCAGCAGUGGGGAAUAUUGCACAAUGGGCGCAAGCCUGAUGCAGCCAUGCCGCGUGUGUGAAGAAGGCCUUCGGGUUGUAAAGCACUUUCAGCGGGGAGGAAGGCGAUAAGGUUAAUAACCUUGUCGAUUGACGUUACCCGCAGAAGAAGCACCGGCUAACUCCGUGCCAGCAGCCGCGGUAAUACGGAGGGUGCAAGCGUUAAUCGGAAUUACUGGGCGUAAAGCGCACGCAGGCGGUCUGUCAAGUCGGAUGUGAAAUCCCCGGGCUCAACCUGGGAACUGCAUUCGAAACUGGCAGGCUAGAGUCUUGUAGAGGGGGGUAGAAUUCCAGGUGUAGCGGUGAAAUGCGUAGAGAUCUGGAGGAAUACCGGUGGCGAAGGCGGCCCCCUGGACAAAGACUGACGCUCAGGUGCGAAAGCGUGGGGAGCAAACAGGAUUAGAUACCCUGGUAGUCCACGCCGUAAACGAUGUCGAUUUGGAGGUUGUGCCCUUGAGGCGUGGCUUCCGGAGCUAACGCGUUAAAUCGACCGCCUGGGGAGUACGGCCGCAAGGUUAAAACUCAAAUGAAUUGACGGGGGCCCGCACAAGCGGUGGAGCAUGUGGUUUAAUUCGAUGCAACGCGAAGAACCUUACCUGGUCUUGACAUCCACAGAACUUAGCAGAGAUGCUUUGGUGCCUUCGGGAACUGUGAGACAGGUGCUGCAUGGCUGUCGUCAGCUCGUGUUGUGAAAUGUUGGGUUAAGUCCCGCAACGAGCGCAACCCUUAUCCUUUGUUGCCAGCGGUUAGGCCGGGAACUCAAAGGAGACUGCCAGUGAUAAACUGGAGGAAGGUGGGGAUGACGUCAAGUCAUCAUGGCCCUUACGACCAGGGCUACACACGUGCUACAAUGGCAUAUACAAAGAGAAGCGACCUCGCGAGAGUAAGCGGACCUCAUAAAGUAUGUCGUAGUCCGGAUUGGAGUCUGCAACUCGACUCCAUGAAGUCGGAAUCGCUAGUAAUCGUAGAUCAGAAUGCUACGGUGAAUACGUUCCCGGGCCUUGUACACACCGCCCGUCACACCAUGGGAGUGGGUUGCAAAAGAAGUAGGUAGCUUAACCUUCGGGAGGGCGCUUACCACUUUGUGAUUCAUGACUGGGGUGAAGUCGUAACAAGGUAACCGUAGGGGAACCUGCGGUUGGAUCACCUCCUUACCUUAAAGAA